AUGUCUUCUCUCACCCUUGUCUCGUUUCUUGAUGCCUCAAGUUCUGACAAGCCAAACUGCGAAUCCAAUGAAAACAUGAGGAUCCUUUUCUAGCACAAGUAGAAAGGCGAGAAGCGUUCACGAUGAUUUAAAACUACAAUCCUAGUAAAUUGGAAUUGAAGAAUAAAUAUACAUACAGAUAACAACAAAGCACAAUUAAUAUUUGCAAUCUGAAAGGUAGGGUGUAAAGGUACAUUAGCUCAGGCAUUGUCAACAUAUCGGGAAAGUGAACUAUUCAAAGCGAAAAAAAAGGAAUGAGGUGAGUUUCUUGAAUAGAAUUUCAAGCAGCCUAGGGAAGAUGCAAAUGAAGCUACAAU
rnacentral:lncRNA from 1 species